ACACGGCCCAGACUCUACGGGAGCAGACAGUGGGGAAUAUUGGACAAUGGGGCAACCCUGAUCCAGCAAUGCCGCGUGAGUGAAGAAGGCCUUAGAGUGGUAAAGCUCGUUCACCCGUGAAGAUGAUGACGGUAGCGGGAGAAGAAGCCCCGGCUAAUUCCGUGCCAGCAGCCGACGGUAAUACGGAAGGGGCAAGCGUUGUUCGGAAUUACUGGGCGUAAAGAGCGCGUAGGCGGCUCUUCAAGUUAGGCGUGAAAGGCCUGGGCUCAACCUGGGAACAUGCGUUUAAUACUGGAGAGCUUGAGUCCGGGAGAGGUGUGGCUGGAAUUCCCAGUGUAGAGGUGAAAUUCGUAGAGUAUUGGGAGGAACACCAGUGGCGAAGGCGGCCACCUGGCCCGGAACGGACGCUGAGGCGCGAAAGCGUGGGGAGCAAACAGGAUUAGAUACCCCUGGUAGUCCACGCCGUAAACGAUGAGUUGCCUAGAUGUGCGGGGAGCUUGCUCUUUCGGUGUCGCAGCUAACGCGUUAAGCACUCCGCCUGGGGAGUUACGUCCGCCAAGGUUAAAACUCAAAGGAAUUGACGG
rnacentral:rRNA from 2 species